rnacentral:rRNA from 1 species
ACAGCAGCCGCCGCGGUAAUACGUAGGGUGCGAGCGUUGUCCGGAAUUACUGGGCGUAAAGAGCUCGUAGGCGGUUUGUCGCGUCGUCUGUGAAAUUCUGCAGCUUAACUGUAGGCGUGCAGGCGAUACGGGCAGACUUGAGUACUACAGGGGAGACUGGAAUUCCUGGUGUAGCGGUGAAAUGCGCAGAUAUCAGGAGGAACACCGGUGGCGAAGGCGGGUCUCUGGGUAGUAACUGACGCUGAGGAGCGAAAGCGUGGGUAGCGAACAGGAUUAGAUACCCGCGUAGUCCCUGUCUCUUAUAC